AUUGAACGCUGGCGGCAGGCCUAACACAUGCAAGUCGAACGAGUGGCGGACGGGUGAGUACUGUCUGGGAAACUGCCCGAUGGAGGGGGAUAACUACUGGAAACGGUAGCUAAUACCGCAUACCAUCGGAUGUGCCCAGAUGUGAUUAGUUAGUAGGUGGGGUAACGGCUCACCUAGGCGACGAUCCCUAGCUGGUCUGAGAGGAUGACCAGCCAAACUGGAACUGAGACACGGUCCAGACUCCUACGGGAGGCAGCAGUGGGGAAUUUUGGACAAUGGGGGAAACCCUGAUCCAGCCAUCCCGCGUGUGCGAGGAAGGCCGUCGGGUUGUAAAGCACGUUUGGCAGGAAAGCGGUACCUGCAGAAUAAGCACCGGCUAACUACGUGCCAGCAGCCGCGGUAAUAC
rnacentral:rRNA from 1 species